rnacentral:rRNA from 1 species
UACAGGGGGGGCAAGCGUUGUUCGGAAUUACUGGGCGUAAAGGGCCAGCAGGCGGCCAACUAAGUCACACGUGAAAUCCCCAGGCUUAACCUGGGAACUGCGUGUGAUACUGGAUGGCUUGAAUUCGGGAGAGGGAUGCAGAAUUCCAGGUGUAGCGGUGAAAUGCGUAGAUAUCUGGAGGAAUACCGGUGGCGAAGGCGGCAUCCUGGACCGACAUUGACGCUGAACGGCGAAAGCUAGGGGAGCAAACGGG